UUUGUGGAGGGUUUGAUUCUGGCUCAGGAUGAACGCUGGCGGCGUGCUUAACACAUGCAAGUCGAACGGGAUCCAUCAAGCUUGCUUGAUGGUGAGAGUGGCGAACGGGUGAGUAAUGCGUGACUAACCUGCCUCAUACACCGGAAUAGCUCCUGGAAACGGGUGGUAAUGCCGGAUGCUCCAACAUUUCACAUGUUUUGUUGGGAAAGCGUUAGCGGUAUGAGAUGGGGUCGCGUCCUAUCAGCUUGUUGGUGAGGUGAAGGCCCACCAAGGCUUCGACGGGUAGCCGGCCUGAGAGGGUGACCGGCCACAUUGGGACUGAGAUACGGCCCAGACUCCUACGGGAGGCAGCAGUGGGGAAUAUUGCACAAUGGGCGAAAGCCUGAUGCAGCGACGCCGCGUGCGGGAUGAAGGCCUUCGGGUUGUAAACCGCUUUUAAUUGGGAGCAAGCGAGAGUGAGUGUACCUUUUGAAUAAGCACCGGCUAACUACGUGCCAGCAGCCGCGGUAAUACGUAGGGUGCAAGCGUUAUCCGGAAUUAUUGGGCGUAAAGAGCUCGUAGGCGGUUUGUCACGCCUGGUGUGAAAGUCCAUCGCUUAACGGUGGAUCUGCGCCGGGUACGGGCAGGCUAGAGUGCAGUAGGGGAGAUUGGAAUUCCCGGUGUAACGGUGGAAUGUGUAGAUAUCGGGAAGAACACCAAUGGCGAAGGCAGAUCUCUGGGCUGUUACUGACGCUGAGGAGCGAAAGCAUGGGGAGCGAACAGGAUUAGAUACCCUGG
rnacentral:rRNA from 1 species